rnacentral:rRNA from 1 species
AGCAGCCGCGGUAAUUCCAGCUCCAAUAGCGUAUAUUAAAGUUGUUGCAAGUUAAAAAGCUCGUAGUUGAAUUUCGGGAUUGGCGCAUCGGUCGUGCCUCACGGGGUAUGAACUGGUGCAGUCAAUUUCUCACCUUCUGGAGAACCGCGAUGGUCCUUAAUUGGAUGCCGCGGGGGAACCAGGACCUUUACUUUGAAAAAAUUAGAGUGUUUAAAGCAGGCAUUUUUGCUUAGAAUACAUUAGCAUGGAAUAAUAAAAUAGGACGGCAUGGUUCUAUUUUAGUUGGUUUCUAGGACCACCGUAAUGAUUAAUAGGG